CCAAUUUUUUCUUCACUUUGUGUCGCUCCAUCACCGAGCGCUGUUCUUCUUCAGCUUGGUCAAGGUCACUCUGUCAUCGUCGUUCCGAGCGUUCUUCUUCAACCGAACGUUCAUUCGUUCCAAACUUCUUCAGCUGAACGUGUAGGUCAAGCGUUGUUCUAUCUUCCAUUAUCGACACACUUCUGGACGUUUAGAUCUUUUCAAGCCUCUUUGCAUUUUUUAAGCUUCGAUUGGUUCUCCUACCUGUGUCUUGAUUUUGUUGAAGCUGCAUCAAUGGUGAAGACCCAUAUAAGUUUUUUACUUGGAAUAUCACAUAUGGAGACAUUUGGCCUCUUGGAGUAAAGGAACAGGUAUUUUGAUUAAUGGGCAAUUUCGAGGGCCACAAAUUGAGGCAGUUACUAAUGAGAAUUUGAUUAUCAAUGUCUUUAAUAGUUUAGACGAGCCUUUCCUGAUCUCCUGGAAACUUGGAAUGAUUGGACAACUUGAAAUUUUCAUUAUAAUGCUUGCAUAUUCUUGAAUGUACAAAAGCUUUUCGUCUCAUUUUCCCCUUCUUCUUCACCGCUUCUCCAAGGCAUGUGGUGCUUGCUCCUGAACUGGCGAAACUUCUCCCCAAGAAUCGCCUCUUUCUGAACAUUGCAGAAUACUCUAUGGAAAACUCAAUCAUCAAACCAACUUACAUGCUGACAUAUGAAAGUGCAUCGGAGUUGCUUAGUUUGAACUUGGAAGAGGAGGCUGAACUUAAAAUUCUAUCUGAGGCUACAACUUUACGAUUAGCAUGACGAAGACAACAGGUGCCUCUAUAACCAUAGUGGCUUAAAUUAUUGGCAAGAAUGUUGGUUGUUUAUUAAUCAGGCUCUGAUAAAAACCGUUUAGUUAGAAACCUUUUUGUAAUUUGUAUCUAUCAUGUUUGAGGAGAUUUUGUUCCUAAAAGAUAUGCUAUUAUUAGUUUCUUUCGCAAGUAUUUAUUUGCCUUUCAUGUUCUGGUGUCAUAUUUUAAAUUGCGUGCGGAUACUAUAUCAUGAAGUUUAUGAGAGAAAUUCUAAAUAUUGGGAGCAUUGUCAUCUCGAAUUCGGUAUGUUAUAUAUUAAACUAUUUCUUUUGUGGGUAUAAUAAUUUUCAUGAAUACUAAUUCAUUUAUUUUGCAUGUUUACAUAUUGAUACACGAAAGCCAUACUCACAGGCCGAGUUAGAUGAGGUGCGGGUUGAGUUGGCUGAGUUUUUGGGUUCGUACAUAUAAUCUAUGACUUAUUUGUGAUUCUGAAGCAGGAAACUUUUUGUUGUAGUUGAUUUUUUGAAUUGUUAAUAUGGAGGGGGUUGAUUGUUAUACUUUUGAGACAUUGUUGUGAUUUAGGGUUUAGGUGAAUUGUUGAUAGGUGAAUUGUUCAUGUGUAGGGGCCCUGGGGUUGCUGUUAUGAAACUUUAUGUAUGGAGAUGAUAUACUUUUGGGCUAAGUUAGUUAAUUAGAUGAUGUUUAGUUGAAUUCUUGGAAAUAUGAUGAAAUUGUUUAUAUUGGUUUUGUAAAUGAUACGAAUAUGAUGCAAAGUUUUGGAAAUGAUAUG